rnacentral:tRNA from 1 species
GAUAUAGCUCAGUGGUAGAGCACAUACCUAGUAUGCAUGAGGACCUAGGCCCAAUUCCCAGUAUC